AAAAAUUCAGCUUUAAUUUCCUGAUGUUUACAUCUAGAUGCCUUAAUCAAGUUAGGAAAAUUAGCAGACCAUCCAAUGUUUUGGUGAGAAAAAGUAUUGAAACAGAUAGGCUUAAAGUAAAUAACACUUACUGUUUGGUUGCAUGUAUCUUGCUUGUAAUAUCUGCAUCAUGCCGGUGGCCCACUGACAUCACCAGACUGUUGCAUUCUUCUUUUGGGAUGCUUUUCCAGGCGUGCAUCACAGCUUCUUUCAGUAAUUGUUUGUUUCUGGGGGAUUUCUCCCUUCAGUCACCUCUUCAGGAGGUCUGGUGACUGACUUGGCCAAUACAAAUUCUUCCACUUUAUUCCCCUGAUAAAGUCCUUUAUUAUGUUAGCAGUGUGUUUUGGAUCGUUGUCUUGCUCAAUGAUGAAGUUCCUCCAAAUAGAUUGGAUGCAUUUCUCUGUAAAUUGGCAGACAGAAUGUUUCUAUAAACUUCUGAAAUCAUUCUGCUGCUAAAACCAUGAGUUACAUCAUCAAGAAGGAUUAGUGAGCCUGUUCCAGAAGCAGCCAUGCAAGCCCAAGCCGUGGCACUACCUCCACCAUGGUUGACCAAUGAAUUAGUAUGUUUUGGAUCAUGAGCAGAUCCAUUUUUCUCCAAACUUUGGUAGAGGUUAAUUUUGGUUCCAAAACCUUUGUGGCUCUUCUCUGUAUUUCUUUGGUCUGCAUAUCUCAAACCCAAAUGUCUUCAGUGUAUAGCAGCACAAAAAAAAAAAAAAAAAAAAAAAAAAAAAAAAAGAUCCUUGCUUUUCCACUACUUUCAGAUGCGUAGUCAUCAUGCCAAACAUUCCAUGCCUAAUUUAUACUCCUAAUUUUAAUACAAACUGAUUGUUGUGAACUUCAUUAUAACCACUUCUUUUAGGGCUUGAUCAUUACUAAGUCACAUGACCAUAAUACAUACAUAGGCUGUGCUAGGAAUGCAAUGACUUGUCUAAAAUCCCUAGAAGCAUCACUUCUCUGAGAUUUCCCUUUAAAUAUCAUUUAUAUAUUAUUGUUUUAAAUUUAUUGUUUUUUACUGCUCAUUUUAUAGAAGGUAAAAGAUGGACUUAUCUUUCCAGAUGCAUGCACACUCAAUUGACUGACAUAAUGGUUUUAGAUGGGACUACAAUUCCAGAGACACAAUAAUUAUUAUUAAUAAUAUUAAUUAAUAAUAUCCCCACCUACCCAUGUAAAACUAAUCCAGUCCGAACUGGGCUUUAAAGGUACUUAAACUUCUAAAUAACUUUUUUUUAAGCGCUUGUUAGAGGAAAACUAACCACUCUUUUGAUUAUGCAUAUUAAACAAAAUAUAUAUAUAUAUAUAAACAAAAUGUGGUUUUGUUUGGUAAAUGAAGUAGGAAUUUAAAUAAGCUCUAUUUAUGAUUCAUUUUUAAGUAGAGAAUAUACAAACAAGAAAAAAACAGAACAAAAAAAAAAUCAGUAGUUACUAGGCUUGCUACACUAACAUGGAACAGCUGUCUGUUGGCUUCCAGAUGUUUACGGUAGUAUGUAGAAAUGUGGUAUCAUUUCACGCGGUGUUAACGUGUUAUUAAUUAACUACGUUUAUUCCCGAUGUGUACGAUAGUACAUUGAUGUAUGGUAUCUUUUCUCACCACAUUAACAUGCGCGGAAAUGUGGCGUCACUUCACACAGAGUUAACACGCUAUUAAUUAUGUUAUUUGUUAAUUGCAAACUGUGAAUAAAGGUCCUUGUAGAAGGACCAGUCCAAAACAGGGAAGGAGAAACCGGCAGCACUUUUACAAGUUUUUUUUUUUUUUUGUAUAUUUGUAAUAUUAAUAACUGUAUGUGAGUUUUUUGCCUAAUGUUUGUGCAUGUCUCCAUAGACACUUGCUCAGUAUUCUUUAUCAUCUGCUAUAUCAGUCUCUAAAUACGCCUAUGGCUGACUGGCAUUCAGUGUUUCUCCCACUUAAUAAGACUUGUUAAUAAACACGUGUUGGGGUUAUUUAUGCUAAAGCAGUGCUUUUAUUACAAUUACCCUUAUGCAUAAAAUUGAUGGACUCACUACUUUUUGGGCAUUAUCAAUAUCAACACUGUUAAUCUACUGUGGCUGCAUUCAUCACAAAUGACUAAUAUUUAAAUAAAAUGCUCUUGCUUAUUAAA
ensembl:lncRNA